AAAGGCUCAAGAUUAUUAUAUUCCCUCCAAUUCCUGAUCCUGGCAAGAUUUUUAAAGAAAUGUUUGGAGACCAGAAUGAUGAUACUCUGCACUGGAAGAAGUACGACAUCUAUGAGAAGCAAACCAAGGAGGAAACCGACUCUGUAGUGCUGAUAGAAAACCUGAAGAAAGCCUCUCAGUGAUGGAGAUAAUUUAUUUUUACCUUCACUGUGACCUUGAGAAGAUUCUUCCCAUUCUCCAUUUGUUAUCUGGGAACUUAUUAAAUGGAAACUGAAACUACUGCACCAUUUAAAAACAGGCAGCUCAUAAGAGCCACAGGUCUUUAUGUUGAGUCGCGCACCGAAAAACUAAAAAUAAUGGGCGCUUUGGAGAAGAGUGUGGAGUCAUUCUCAUUGAAUUAUAAAAGCCAGCAGGCUUCAAACUAGGGGACAAAGCAAAAAGUGAUGAUAGUGGUGGAGUUAAUCUUAUCAAGAGUUGUGACAACUUCCUGAGGGAUCUAUACUUGCUUUGUGUUCUUUGUGUCAACAUGAACAAAUUUUAUUUGUAGGGGAACUCAUUUGGGGUGCAAAUGCUAAUGUCAAACUUGAGUCACAAAGAACAUGUAGAAAACAAAAUGGAUAAAAUCUGAUAUGUAUUGUUUGGGAUCCUAUUGAACCAUGUUUGUGGCUAUUAAAACUCUUUUAACAG
rnacentral:lncRNA from 1 species